rnacentral:rRNA from 1 species
UCUACGGGUGGCAGCAGUGAGGAAUAUUGGUCAAUGGGCGCGAGCCUGAACCAGCCAAGUCGCGUGAGGGAAGACGGUCCUAUGGAUUGUAAACCUCUUUUGUCGGGGAGCAAAAGACGCCACGCGUGGCGUUCCGAGCGUACCCGAAGAAAAAGCAUCGGCUAACUCCGUGCCAGUAGCCGCGGUAAUACGGAGGAUGCGGGCGUUAUACGGAUUUAGUGGGGUUAAAGGGUGCGCAGGCGGAAGAUCAAGUCAGCGGUAAAAUUGAGAGGCUCAACCUCUUCGAGCCGUUGAAACUGGUGUUCUUGAGUGAGUGAGAAGUAUGCGGAAUGCGUGGUGUAGCGGUGAAAUGCAUAGAUAUCACGCAGAACUCCGAUUGCGAAGGCAGCAUACCGGCGCUCAACUGACGCUCAUGCACGAAAGUGUGGGUAUCGAACAGGAUUAGAUACCCCUGUAGUC